UGGAACCCAUCCGAGGUUCCGGGCUGCGGGC
rnacentral:sRNA from 1 species